AGUUUAUAUGUAAUUGUUAUGAAGAAAUGAAUCAUUUGUAUUAAAACAGAUGGAUGAAUUUUAUCUUCAACAUAUAAUGGAUAAGAAGAAAAUGAAUAAACAGAUGUCUUCAGACUGCAGUACACCACUAGUGGAAAUGCCUUUGGUCCUCCAGAUAUUGCUAGCAGAGGGUCAAACGGCAAGCGAGCUGAGCAAGUCGAACUCAAACUGCUCUAAAGAGACCUCAAGAAGUCAUCUGCGUUGGUCUGACUACCUCGAAGAAUGAUGAAUUAUACUUGAAUCUUGCUAACAGAUGUCCUCUUGGAAGACCUUAAAUGAUGGUGACUCCUCAGACAGUCUAUUCCAAUGUUAUCACUAUCACAGUGUUAUCGCUAGAAAGCUUCUAAUGUCUAACAUAUAUCCUCCUUUCUUCAACUGAAACCCAUUAUAGUUUUAUUACCUAUAUUCACUAUGGAUGCCUUUGAUGCCUUUUGUGCGUCUGAGAGCAGCUAUUGUGUCUCUAAUGCCAGUCUUCUCCCCUUCAGACUAAGGUAUGAAAUAUUUUUUUCAAUCCUUCCUUGUAGAUCACAAUUUCUAGACCUCCGCUUAUUUUCUUCCUCUGUUCUUAUUAGAUUGACAGUUUCUGGAACUGCAGUGUACAAAAUGGGUAACAGAAUUCCAAAGAAAGCUAUGGUCUAAUUUCUGUAUUUCCUAUUUAUAUAUUCCAAUAUAUAUUUUCUUUUUUAAUAACAGUGUGGCAUUGUUGACUCAUAUCCAUUAUGACAGAUCCUUUUCUGAAAAACUAUUCCCUACUUGUAUCCCUGAUACCUGACUUGGCAAAUUCAAAUCUAGCCUUAAAUUACCACCACGUUCAGUUUUGACUGCAGACUUCCUAAAUCUAAUUUCUAUUUAUUUUAUUUAGGUCAUUAUUAAAAACAUUAGUGGUAGACACAGGUCAGGUGCAAGUGGAACCUAUUCUACAUAUCUUUUUGUUCAGACAGUGAACAGUAAGUCAUUUCACUCUAUCCAAUCACCUCUGUACACCCUUCAUAGUAAAUUAGUCCAGAGACAGUUUUCCUAGCUUGCUUAGGAAAACAGACUGCAAAGGAAUGUCGAAGUUCUACUGUAUCCCAGCUAUUUCAACUAUUGCUUUUAUGCUGUCAACAAUGCAUGAUAUCACAGUGCAGAGAAAGACAAAAAACAAACAAACAAAAAAAAACACCCUACUUGGUCUUUUCAAUACAUGGUUGUUGUUUUCUUGCAGGUACAUGCCAAUGGUUUGAUUUGUUCAGCAUUUUUCUGAGAG